UACGAAGGGUGCAAGCGUUGCUCGGAAUUAUUGGGCGUAAAGGGUAGGUAGGUGGUCAUACAAGUCUGGAGUGAAAUCCCCGAGCUUAACUUGGGACGUGCUUUGGAAACUGUAUGACUAGAGUGCUAGAGAGGUUCGUGGAAUUCCCGGUGUAGCGGUGAAAUGCGUAGAGAUCGGGAGGAACACCAGAGGCGAAGGCGAUGAACUGGAUAGCAACUGACACUCAACUACGAAAGCGUGGGUAGCAAAC
rnacentral:rRNA from 1 species